CACCCCUUUAAGUAGACAGGAACUGACACAUUUUUUCCUAUGGUAAAUGGCCUGAGUGAGCCAUCUUCAUUUAUCCAACGUCUUUGGAUAUACACAGACUGGCGGAGUGGAGCGAGAAACGACUGUUGGGCUGUCCCGUGAAGAGAUCCCGCCAUGCGUGAAUACAAGCUAGUGGUGCUAGGCUCGGGAGGCGUGGGCAAGUCCGCUCUGACAGUCCAGUUUGUGCAGGGAAUCUUUGUGGAAAAGUACGACCCAACAAUAGAAGACUCCUACAGAAAGCAAGUGGAGGUAGAUGGACAGCAGUGCAUGCUUGAAAUCCUCGACACAGCCGGCACAGAGCAGUUCACUGCCAUGAGAGAUCUGUACAUGAAGAACGGUCAGGGCUUUGCCCUGGUGUACUCCAUCACAGCACAGUCCACGUUCAAUGACCUGCAGGACCUGAGGGAACAGAUCUUGAGAGUCAAGGACACCGAAGAUGUGCCUAUGAUCCUGGUGGGUAAUAAGUGUGAUCUGGAGGAUGAGAGGGUGGUGGGCAAGGAGCAGGGUCAGAACCUGGCCAGACAGUGGAACCACUGUGCCUUUUUAGAGUCCUCCGCAAAGUCAAAGAUCAACGUCCUCGACAUCUUCUACGACUUGGUCAGACAGAUAAAUAGUAAAACGCCUGUGGAAAAGAAGAAGGCGAAAAAGAAAUCAAACUGUGUCCUGCUCUAAAGGUCCCCUCCACCCUGCAGCAGCUCUGAGCCAGUCCCACAGUGAGGGGCCCAGCCAGUCCAGCAGCCCCCAGGCAGUGUCUGUCCCCUCUGUCCUCGGCCGGCCACGCCGCCAAGAGCACUGUACUGGCACUAACGGGAUUACAGACCCACUGUUCAGACUACAGGAGCUGCCAGGCUGGGGUAGAACAGCAGAGUUGGGAGGGCGGUGUCAGGCCCCGUAGCUCUCAGGCUGGUCUGAAAACAACCCCUACAGUUAUCCAUACCUACCCGAAGGUGUUUAAGUCUGAAGGAAUUGGAGUGAGCAAUAUGAAUGCUGUAAUGAAGAACUGUUGCCCAGAUUGGACCCGUGCCAGCAUUCUGACAGCCCCGCCUCCCCCAUCAGCCAUAAACAGUGACGACACAAAUAGCCGCCUGCUGAUUCGCUAGUAUCAAGAUAUCAAGGCAGGAUACAAGGAGAGAGAAGACUGGUGUCUAUCUCACUCAGACUUCUCUGAUCUGACAUCAGUGAGCCCUGAAGGACAAUCUUCAUUUCCCACAUGUUGAACCACCAUAAACUCUCUGAAAGUCUCUGAAAUGUCAAUGGUCUGGCCAACCGAGAGCCCCCUCCUUUUUUGAGAGUUUAAAAACGAUUACCAACGAAGGGGAAAAAAGACUUCAGUAUUUUACAUCUUUGCAAUAUAUCGUAUUUGAAGACAUGGAAGUUGACUUUAGUUGUAUGAGUAUAAAUAUCUGCAGACAGCAUGAUCACAUCUGGUAUUACGUGUAGUAAGAACUUUCAAGUGGAAGUAGCAACUUUUUUAUAGCCAUACACCCAUUUCCCCGUGCCAGUCGUGUCAAUGGUGGACCAUAUGUAUUUUGGUGUCGCUUAACUCCAUGGACUUUCUCUUCUGCAAAUAUCUCUGUGACUUAAUUUUAUACUCAGUCACUGGGAUUUCAUAGUUCCCGUAAUAUAUUCUAAUGCCAUUUUUUGCAUAAUAAUGCUUGAGAAAAGGUAUUUUAUAGAAGAAAUAUGGGGGGGAAGGAUUAAUUUCUGUCUCUUGAAGCUGAAAUAUAUACUAAACCAACUUUAAUAAUGCUUCUUGUGUUUUUGUCAAAUGAUGUUCCAGCUUUUAUGGAUUAUUAAAUUUAGUACAUUUUAAUUA